UACGAAGGGGGCGAGCGUUGUUCGGAUUUACCGGGCGUAAAGGGCGCGCAGGCGGCUAUUUUUGUCAGGCGUGAAAGCCCCGGGCUUAACCUGGGAACUGCGCUUGAUACGGGAUGGCUAGAGAUCGGGAGAGGAGAGUGGAAUUCCCAGUGUAGAGGUGAAAUUCGUAGAUAUUGGGAAGAACACCGGUGGCGAAGGCGGCUCUCUAGUACGGUACUGACGCUGAGACGCGAAAGCGUGGGGAG
rnacentral:rRNA from 1 species